AUGCCCUGUGGCUCAGGAGGAACCCCAGCCCGGGGAGAGGCUAUCCUGGGUCUGCUGCUGCCCUCAGCCACCACAGGCCACAGGCCCCUAAUGAGCUGCCAGCCAGGCGUGGAGACCCCGCUGCUGGCUAGCCAGCCCCCUGCCUUCACAGGGCCCACAGGUCAGAGGACAGUGAGACCAUCGCCCUCUAACUCCCCGCAAUCCAUCAGCUCUCAGCCAAAUGUGAAAUGGGGGUGGGGGGGCUUCCAAUUCCAGGAACGGGACCAUGGUAACAUCAGGACCCACGAGAGACCAGAGACUCGGCAAAGCUUCUACAAAUGGCACACGGAAUCCCCAGAACUGCCAGAGAAAACCCUCUCUACACCCCACGGAAGUUUCUUUGCAACUCUGAAGCCCGCCCGACGCCUGACAACACAUCUUCCUUCCAGAAACCUCCUGCCUUUCAGGCUGGUGUGACCGGGGCUGAGGACUGAUUUACCAGAUGGGAUGGGCAUCUGCCCUCAGCCCUCCAGCUCUCUCUCCUCUUGGAGCCAUCCUGCCCAGUGUUCUGGCCUGCUGCCUGCACCUAAGGGAAAGGACUGCUCUUGUCCAGUACUGCCUGUGACCAGUCGGACAACCACGUCUAAUGUUGGGAUGAAGAGGCAGCAAGACCAAUGCUGAUUUCUCAAAUCUGCUCUAAAAAUGAUACAAGUGACAUCUGAUUUCCAAUUCUCGGAUCCUGUAGCUACCUUUUGAUUUAUUCUGAAUUUGGGUAGUGAAAAAUAUAAUCAACCUCUCUCACACAACUAAAUUCCACAGGAGAGCAAUUAGUCUGGUAUUAAAUGGGGCUGCUGCUACUGCUAAGUCACUUCAGUCGUGUCUGACUCUGUGCAACCCCAGAGACGGCAGCCCACCAGGCUCCCCCGUCCCUGGGAUUCUCCAGGCAAGAACACUGGAGUGGGUUGCCAUUUCCUUCUCCAAUGCAUGGAAGUGAAAAGUGAAAGUCAAGUCGCUCAGUCGUGUGUGACUCUUAGCGACCCCAUGGAUUGCAGCCCACCAGGCUCCUGCCUCCAUGGGACUUUCCAGGCAAGAGUACUGGAGUGGGGUGCCAUUGCCUUCUCCGUAAAUGGGGCUAGGAAACCAGAAUACAGGGAGUGACACAGCUUCGGAUGUGGCCCAGGUAUAAAUUUUGGCUAUGAACUUGGCCACAAGAUCAACCACCCUGGGCGCCACUUCCUCGUCUGAAAUAAACCAUCAGUCAAGACUCUUGGUUGUAAUGGA
rnacentral:lncRNA from 1 species